GUGAGGAAUAUUGGUCAAUGGGCGAGAGCCUGAACCAGCCAAGUCGCGUGAAGGAAGAAGGAUCUAUGGUUCGUAAACUUCUUUUGCAGGGGAAUAAAGUGCGGGACGUGUCCUGUUUUGUAUGUACCCUGAGAAUAAGGAUCGGCUAACUCCGUGCCAGCAGCCGCGGUAAUACGGAGGAUCCGAGCGUUAUCCGGAUUUAUUGGGUUUAAAGGGUGCGUAGGUGGUUUGAUAAGUCAGCGGUGAAAGUUUGCAGCUUAACUGUAAAAAUGCCGUUGAAACUGUCGGACUUGAGUGUAAAUGAGGUAGGCAGAAUGCGUGGUGUAGCGGUGAAAUGCAUAGAUAUCACGCAGAACUCCGAUUGCGAAGGCAGCUUACUAAGCUACAACUGACACUGAAGCACGAAAGCGUGGGGAUCAAACAGGAUUAGAAACCCGAGUAGUCC
rnacentral:rRNA from 1 species